CUUCUCCCAUCCCGCACCCUAACAAGAGUUUGUACCGAAUCCAAUUCUUACAGAUUCAAUCCCGAUUUCUUGCCUCCUCCUCACGAAAAUUCGUCCAUAUAUAGCCCUUCUCCUGUGCACGCGAUUUAAUAGAUAUCAGAGAUUUUUCCACCAAAUCGAUUGCCUAAAUUCGUCGGGAUUCUCUCGCCAUUGAAGCUGGAAAUCGAGCUUACCUCGAGAUUACUGAUGGGUUUGGCCGGACCACAACGCCUCAAAUCGAUCAGCGCCACCAUCUAAAACGACGCCAUGACCUCACAAACACGGCUCUGACCACCGCCUCCUACGGAGCACUGAUCUCCGGCCACGCCCGGCUGUGGUCCUCCGUAUUCUCUGCCGAGGUGCACGUCCGAUGUAUGCAUCUCCGGAUCAGCUACUCCUCUCUGUUCUGGUGAUGGCCAUGGCGGCCAGCCUGGGAGCUUCAGCGGGAGGUCGGGCCCUCUAAUCUGCAGAGUGGAGUCCGAUUCUGGUGCUCUUCCGUCCGAUGGUGUUGUCCUCUCAAGAUCAAGUCGCUGGGUUGACCUCCAACUGCCUCCUCGAGAUGGAGGCGUAGACCACGUCCGGACAAGCAACGCCCACGGCCUAUUCUUCUGGCGGCGGUUUUCACAUCUCUCCUUCAGCUGCGACAUUGUUCUCGUCAGACAUGGAUGGUCAACCCAAUGGCAUGGUGAUGCUCAAGAAAUACAAGCCUACUGAUGCAAUGCAGGUCAGCUGGCAAGGUCAUCGGAGGAGGUGAUGACGUGCAAGGAGACGAUAUCCGGCAGCCGGCGCACACAUCUGUGCCGGACUCGUGCGCCAUGGUCGAGGCUGGGUGGAGGAGCAUGGGAUGACUGCUUGGUUGUGGAGGAUGUGUACGGAGCAGGGGGCGGCAGAUUCAGGCUGCAGAGAUAUUGUCCAAGGAGAGAAUCUGUGCACCCAAAGGAUGGCGCUGUGCUUAAAUAUGGUGACAUGGGCUUAUGAGAUGCAUUUCUAUUGAAGCACUGCUGUUGUGGAGGACAGUUUUAUCUUGAUACAACAAAAGAUAAAUCAUCUCGGAGUACAUAUCAGAAUGAGUUCAUAAGAUUUCUACGGUUAUUCUCAUAGCUUCUCCGAGGAUUAUCUGAGAAACAAGAAGAAGUGGCAGGAGCAUUUAGAAGAAACAACUGUACCUAGGAGACCGACCAUCAUGUUCAGCCUACAUGCAAGGGAGACUAUCUAAGCUGGAAGAUGGCCUGUAUGUGCGAGUUUGUGACAGUAUGGAGAGUUGUGGCAAAGUGAAUUGACCAGCUGAUUUUCACAGGAAUUUUCUGAAAUUUUGGCCUAAGCAAAAUUCUAUUCUUGUACAAGAUAUGCACUGCGGAUUUUAAAGAGAGAGAUUAUGCAUCAGUCAUGAAUCCUACCAGCCUGCACCAAAUAUGAUUUAAAUUUGCAAGCACUUGGGAUAUCACAGGGUG